rnacentral:rRNA from 1 species
CGCUGGCGGCGUGCUUAACACAUGCAAGUCGAACGAGGGAAUUCUUUUCGGAGAAUAUACCGAGUGGCAAACGGGUGAGUAACGCGUAGGCAACCUGCCUUCAAGAUGGGGACAACAGUCCGAAAGGGCUGCUAAUACCGAAUGACAUGUCUGAACCGCAUGGGACGGACAGCAAAGACGGCCUCCAAACUAUGCUGUCGCUUGAAGAUGGGCCUGCGUCUGAUUAGCUAGUUGGUGUGAUAACAGCCCACCAAGGCGACGAUCAGUAGCCGGUCUGAGAGGAUGAACGGCCACAUUGGGACUGAGACACGGCCCAGACUCCUACGGGAGGCAGCAGUGGGGAAUCUUCCGCAAUGGGCGAAAGCCUGACGGAGCAACGCCGCGUGAGUGAAGAAGGGUUUCGGCUCGUAAAGCUCUGUUGAAGGGGACGAACGGUAGGCAUAGGAAAUGAUGCUUAUUUGACGGUACCUUUCGAGGAAGCCACGGCUAACUACGUG